rnacentral:rRNA from 1 species
UACGAAGGGGGCUAGCGUUGUUCGGAAUUACUGGGCGUAAAGCGCCCGCAGGCGGCUUGCCAAGUUCGAUGUGAAAUCUCCCGGCUCAACUGGGAGGGUGCAUCGAAAACUGGCAGGCUUGAGGCAGGGAGAGGGAUGUGGAAUUCCAGGUGUAGUGGUGAAAUGCGUAGAUAUCUGGAGGAACACCGGUGGCGAAGGCGGUUCUCUGGGCAUGAUCUGACGCUGAGGAGCGAAAGUGUGGGGAGCGAACAGG